GUCCCUAUAGCUCAACUGGACAGAGCGCAAGCUUGCGGAGCUUGAGGUUAGAGGUUCGAGUCCUCUUAGGGACA
rnacentral:tRNA from 1 species